GAUGAACGCUGGCGGCGUGCCUAAUACAUGCAAGUCGAGCGAACGGACGAGAAGCUUGCUUCUCUGAUGUUAGCGGCGGACGGGUGAGUAACACGUGGAUAACCUACCUAUAAGACUGGGAUAACUUCGGGAAACCGGAGCUAAUACCGGAUAAUAUUUUGAACCGCAUGGUUCAAAAGUGAAAGACGGUCUUGCUGUCACUUAUAGAUGGAUCCGCGCUGCAUUAGCUAGUUGGUAAGGUAACGGCUUACCAAGGCAACGAUGCAUAGCCGACCUGAGAGAGUGAUCGGCCACCCUGGAACUGAGACACGGUCCAGACUCCUACGGGAGGCAGCAGUAGGGAAUCUUCCGCAAUGGGCGAAAGCCUGACGGAGCAACGCCGCGUGAGUGAUGAAGGUCUUCGGAUCGUAAAACUCUGUUAUUAGGGAAGAACAUAUGUGUAAGUAACUGUGCACAUCUUGACGGUACCUAAUCAGAAAGCCACGGCUAACUACGUG
rnacentral:rRNA from 1 species